CCUACGGGAGGCAGCAGUGGGGAAUUUUCCGCAAUGGGCGAAAGCCUGACGGAGCAACGCCGCGUGAGGGAUGAAGGCCUCUGGGCUGUAAGCCUCUUUUAUCAAGGAAGAAGAUCUGACGGUACUUGAUGAAUAAGCCACGGCUAAUUCCGUGCCAGCAGCCGCGGUAAUACGGGAGUGGCAAGCGUUAUCCGGAAUUAUUGGGCGUAAAGCGUCCGCAGGCGGUCUUGUAAGUCUGUCGUUAAAGCGUGGAGCUCAACUCCAUUUCGGCGGUGGAAACUACAGGACUAGAGUGUGGUAGGGGCAGAGGGAAUUCCCGGUGUAGCGGUGAAAUGCGUAGAUAUCGGGAAGAACACCAGUGGCGAAGGCGCUCUGCUGGGCCAUAACUGACGCUCAUGGACGAAAGCUAGGGGAGCGAAAGGGAUUAGAUACCCCUGUAGUCCUAGCCGUAAACGAUGAACACUAGGUGUCGGGGAAUCGACCCCUCGGUGUCGUAGCUAACGCGUUAAGUGUUCCGCCUGGGGAGUCGCACGCAAGUGUGAACUCAAAUGAAUUGACGGCUGAGACGNGCGACGCGACGACGAGGAGAG
rnacentral:rRNA from 1 species